UACGAAGGGGGCUAGCGUUGCUCGGAAUCACUGGGCGUAAAGGGUGCGUAGGCGGGUCUUUUAAGUCAGGGGUGAAAUCCUGGAGCUCAACUCCAGAACUGCCUUUGAUACUGAGGAUCUUGAGUUCGGGAGAGGUGAGUGGAACUGCGAGUGUAGAGGUGAAAUUCGUAGAUAUUCGCAAGAACACCAGUGGCGAAGGCGGCUCACUGGCCCAUUACUGACGCUGAGGCACGGAAAGCGUGGGGAGCAAACAGGG
rnacentral:rRNA from 1 species